GCCGGAGUGGCGGAAUUGGCAGACGCACAGCUUUCAAAAAGCUGCGAGGCAACUCGUGCGGGUUCAAGUCCCGCCUCCGGCACCA
rnacentral:tRNA from 1 species